CUCUACUAAAAAUACAAAACAUUAGGUGGGCAUGGUGGCGCAUGCCUGUAAUCUCAGCUACUCAGGAGACUGAGGCAGGAGGAUCCCUUGAGCCCACGAGUUGAAGGCUACAGUGGACUAUAAUCACACCACUGCAUUCCAGCCUGAGCAGCAGAGUGAGAUCCCUUUAUCU